rfam:Geobacter sulfurreducens PCA, complete genome.
GCUGGCGUAGCUCAACUGGUAGAGCAGCUGACUUGUAAUCAGCAGGUUGCGGGUUCAAGUCCUGUCGCCAGCU